GCCAUGGUAACGCUGUCUCUUUUCUUACGUAACCAUAUUAAGGCACCUUGUGGCGACUAGGUUCGUUGAAACGUCACACACAACGACAUCGACAUCGUAGCGUUUGUCGUCUUGGCCGAUCGAGUUCGCUUAUGGACAAUGGGAACUAUACGAUUUUCUUUUUUGAUUCUCUUAAUCAUCCGCGAGGCGCCACGAUCGCCUUGCUGAAAAUGGCCGCGCGAUGUCUGGUCGUGUCGUGAAAGUUGUGGAUUCACUUAUGUUAACAAUUACGUAACAAAUUGUCGCGUGCACAUGCGUUAAUCUGCGAGAUCAGCUCCUUGGUUGUAAUAGUCCCGUUGAAGAGAUUCGAUUAAAUAAACGUGGAUUAGACUUGCUUUCACGUUAACCUCUUGACACUUUCACUGCACGUGUAUUAUGCAUGGCAUGUUUUAAAAGUUGAGUUUCUAAAUGGAUAUAUCGUAAUAUAACAUCGAAAAAAUUAUGAUGUGUUGUUUUUCAAUAUAUAAGGAAAACGAAUUUCAUUUAAUUAUUUCUCGCAGAAGAUACAAUAAUAAAAUUAUAACAUGAAUAGGAAGCUUUAAUUAUUUUUUCUCUAUUCGACGUUUAUAUUACUCGGCGUUUAUUUUUGCAGUAUUUUGAAUGAAUUAUCGCAAAGGUGAAUUAAAGUUGUUAAUAUCAUAGAUUAAACUUCAAAGUUAUGUAUGCAGGUAUUAAUAAUAGAAUAAUGAGAUAUACAUCUUUAAUUAUCAAAUUGGAUCUGUCAAAAAUAACUAAUUAAAUUUCUUUCAGAGUUGGAACAACAAUCUUCUUCAACAAACAAUAAACUGUUCUUCGUAACAAUUAAUUCUCUCCACAAGGAAUCGAAAAAGGAAAGAAAAGAAUCGAACAAAUAAGCUCUUCAAGUUACAAGAACAAUCGUGGCGCCUGUUCGUGUACGAAUCUAUCGAAACCGGAAACAGACCAAUCACAAUGCCGAAAAACGAUGUUCCAGGGACGAGGAAUGAGGAUCUCGUGUUCAAACCCUUUUAAUACAUCAACGUCCGUCAAACGUGAAAAGGCGGAAGAGUUUGGCCGCCUUGGCAUCCUGCGAAACCGGAGGUCCUCGACCGUCAAAGUAGACAAAGUGAACACGCGCGAAAACCGGUGAUUCGCACGUCCCUCGAAUGAACGAAUCGCUCGAGUCCCCGUGGCUUCUUAUUCCACGGUGGUCCUCGCACGGAAUCCUGAGUUCAAUGCCUCUUUGAUGAGCGUUCCCUUCUCCUUCGGCUCCGCGGCCAUCGUCGCGAACAGUCCACCUUUUCUCCCUACCCAUCCGUUCCCAUACGAUCCAUCUAUCGACCGAUCGAUUCGGAUCGAAUUCGUGAUCCGGUCGAUGAUCGAACACGAAUUCUUAUUUGCAUUUUUUUUUUUUCGUUUUCGUCUUUGAUCCGAAUAGGAAUUUGAAUGUGCAUUCGGUUUACUCUGUUCGCCUUCUUCGUUUUUAUGGUAUUUUCUUUUUUCGUUAAUUUUUCUUCCUGUUGAUAGAGAAUCACGCGUGCUCGUAGGUGAAACUGCGUCGAAUAACUUCCCGUUGAUAAUCAUCGUGAGAGAAGGUGGGGCAAAUUUAUGUGCGUUGGCUCGAACUGGCUGCGUGCAGGUGGAAAAUCAGCGAGCCUCGACGAUAGCGUGCAUUAUAUAACACUAAGGCUAUUUUCAAGUGUCGAAGAAAUUUAUACGGGAACUAUUUUUGUCAUCGGAUGGGAAUUGGCGAUCGUUGACGGCUGAAUUCUGUUCCUUUUCUCCUAUUUAAAUAUUUAUUUGAAUAAUUAUCAGGAAGAUGAAGUAAAAUUUGAUGAGAUUCAGGGAAGAAAUUGUGCAAUCGAUAUAUUAUAUUUAUGAUUUAUGGAAAAUUUUCUAAAUAUUUAUAAUUUUUCAAUUUUUCUACUUUAUCCGAUUUUAUUGUAAUAGCGUGAAAUAUUUGUGAAACGAAUUCAUGAGAUAUUUGAGGAGAGAAAUGAUCAGUUUAACGAGAAUUUAUUUGACGAAUUUAUUUAUUCUGAACUUGUCAGAACGUUAAUUGAUCAGAAAACUCAUCCACUGUAACCAAAGUUUUAAUCACAGCUACGUAUAACAUCUAUAUUUUAAUUGCUUCUUUUACAUUACAAAUAAUAUUAAAGAUACAUAAGCAGCUCAUAAAACUGCAAUCUACAUAUAACAUUGAAAGCUACCAACCGAAUCUUAUUUAACAAUACCAUGUUAAAGAAUCAUGAAAUUAUAAAAUACAUAAAUUAUAUUUCCAUAAUGUAAUUAAUCUCAGUUCACAGAUGUUACAAUAAAUUUACAAAUAUA